UUUAGAAGUUGUGGAGCCUCUGCUAUUUUCCUUUGGAGAAAUUCAUGCAUUCACAGUCCUGGCUUUGAACAGAGGAUGUGCAUGUCAGUAUCUUCUUCUCCACCAAAGUGGUUCUUGAUGAUUUUCAGAGCAGCCCAGCUAAGCUGACAGUUCUUGUGAAGUAGUAAAGCCUCGAUUCUAUCGAUCCCACCAAGUUCUUCCAUCAGAAGACACAAGCUUUUCUUAUCACUCAGCUUCUGCACAGCCUGGAGGACAUAAGAGAUGACAUUGAGAAUGAUGAGGAUGAUCUUCACAUCUGGGACAGUGAGCAGAUUCAACAGCGGCCCCAGGACUCCAAAGUGAAUGAGCUGGAACAACUGGUCUGAGGAGGCCCCCCUUGCGAAGUUAGCCACUCUCCAGACAGCUUCUUUUUGGACUUUGUAUUUUCCAUUUCUUAGCAGAGCCACCAAAGGAAGUAGCAAAUUAUGAGUGAUCAGCUCCUGGAUACGUUGGUGGGGCCCAGUGGCCACGUUGCUCAGGCGCCAGGUUGCCUCCUUCUGGAUGGACCUGAGGUGUUGUAGGAGCUGGGGCAGCACUUUCAGCAUAGAAAGUCCAAAGCUGUCUAUAGGAAACAGCUUUUUGGAUCAGGAAGCUGAGUUCAACGUAACACUAGCUACAAGAAUGAGCAAGUACAGUUCCUCCUCUUUCCCUGAGGCAGUGUACAAGGUAAGAUAAAAUAAUAUAGUUGGUGUUUAAAUUUUAAAAAAUGUAUUACAGUAAAAGACACAUUGCCAUUAAUCUCCCUCAAAAUACUCAUCCUCACUUCAAACACACUUAUCCAAUUAUUCUUGACACUCUCUGAAGCUGUUCUGGAAGUCCUCUUUCAUCAGUGAUGUGAAUUGUACUGAUCUGGCUGUCCUGCCCUUGAUUCAAAAUAUUUGCCUAUUUUUUUUGAGAGAGAGAGAGGGUCUCACUAUGUAGUCCAGGCUGGCCUUGAACUCACAGUGAUCCUCCUACUUCAGCUUCCCAAGUGCUGGG
rnacentral:lncRNA from 1 species